rnacentral:misc_RNA from 1 species
GAACAACUCCUAAUCCCAAACACCUUACCCUUCCAGAGUGCUCUUUUCCUAGAAUUUUUCCAACUGCAUCAUCUGGCGAUAUUAUAGACUCAUCCACAUUGCUUUGACUCAGAGUUUGCUAAAUUUUUUCACAGAUAACUUUUGCCGCUUCAUUUACAUAUGCUCCAUCUUCAUUCUUAUGAGUAGCAAGAUAAAGUUCUGCUCGU